rnacentral:rRNA from 1 species
AGCAAACGCUGGCGGCGUGCCUAAUACAUGCAAGUCGAACGGGGAAAGUAGCAAUACGAGUACUAGUGGCGCACGGGUGAGGAACACGUGGGUAAUCUGCCUUCGAGCGGGGGAUAACUAGUCGAAAGAUUAGCUAAUACCGCAUAAGACCACAAGAUCUGCGGAUCUAGGGGUCAAAGCCGCAAGGCACUUGAAGAUGA